rnacentral:rRNA from 1 species
AUUGAACGCUGGCGGCAGGCCUAACACAUGCAAGUCGAACGGUAACAGGAAGCAGCUUGCUGCUUCGCUGACGAGUGGCGGACGGGUGAGUAAUGUCUGGGAAACUGCCUGAUGGAGGGGGAUAACUACUGGAAACGGUAGCUAAUACCGCAUAACGUCGCAAGACCAAAGAGGGGGACCUUAGGGCCUCUUGCCAUCGGAUGUGCCCAGAUGGGAUUAGCUAGUAGGUGGGGUAACGGCUCACCUAGGCGACGAUCCCUAGCUGGUCUGAGAGGAUGACCAGCCACACUGGAACUGAGACACGGUCCAGACUCCUACGGGAGGCAGCAGUGGGGAAUAUUGCACAAUGGGCGCAAGCCUGAUGCAGCCAUGCCGCGUGUAUGAAGAAGGCCUUCGGGUUGUAAAGUACUUUCAGCGGGGAGGAAGGGAGUAAAGUUAAUACCUUUGCUCAUUGACGUUACCCGCAGAAGAAGCACCGGCUAACUCCGUGCCAGCAGCCGCGGUAAUACGGAGGGUGCAAGCGUUAAUCGGAAUUACUGAGCGUAAAGCGCACGCAGGCGGUUUGUUAAGUCAGAUGUGAAAUCCCCGGGCUCAACCUGGGAACUGCAUCUGAUACUGGCAAGCUUGAGUCUCGUAGAGGGGGGUAGAAUUCCAGGUGUAGCGGUGAAAUGCGUAGAGAUCUGGAGGAAUACCGGUGGCGAAGGCGGCCCCCUGGACGAAGACUGACGCUCAGGUGCGAAAGCGUGGGGAGCAAACAGGAUUAGAUACCCUGGUAGUCCACGCCGUAAACGAUGUCGACUUGGAGGUUGUGCCCUUGAGGCGUGGCUUCCGGAGCUAACGCGUUAAGUCGACCGCCUGGGGAGUACGGCCGCAAGGUUAAAACUCAAAUGAAUUGACGGGGGCCCGCACAAGCGGUGGAGCAUGUGGUUUAAUUCGAUGCAACGCGAAGAACCUUACCUGGUCUUGACAUCCACGGAAGUUUUCAGAGAUGAGAAUGUGCCUUCGGGAACCGUGAGACAGGUGCUGCAUGGCUGUCGUCAGCUUGUGUUGUGAAAUGUUGGGUUAAGUCCCGCAACGAGCGCAACCCUUAUCCUUUGUUGCCAGCGGUCCGGCCGGGAACUCAAAGGAGACUGCCAGUGAUAAACUGGAGGAAGGUGGGGAUGACGUCAAGUCAUCAUGGCCCUUACGACCAGGGCUACACACGUGCUACAAUGGCGCAUACAAAGAGAAGCGACCUCGCGAGAGCAAGCGGACCUCAUAAAGUGCGUCGUAGUCCGGAUUGGAGUCUGCAACUCGACUCCAUGAAGUCGGAAUCGCUAGUAAUCGUGGAUCAGAAUGCCACGGUGAAUACGUUCCCGGGCCUUGUACACACCGCCCGUCACACCAUGGGAGUGGGUUGCAAAAGAAGUAGGUAGCUUAACCUUCGGGAGGGCGCUUACCACUUUGUGAUUCAUGACUGGGGUGAAGUCGUAACAAGGUAACCGUAGGGGAACC